rnacentral:rRNA from 1 species
GAUGAACGCUGGCGGCGUGCCUAACACAUGCAAGUCGAGCGAACCCUUCGGGGUGAGCGGCGGACGGGUGAGUAACGCGUGGGUAACCUGCCCUGUACACACGGAUAACAUACCGAAAGGUAUGCUAAUACGGGAUAACAUAUGAGAGUCGCAUGGCAUUUGUAUCAAAGCUCCGGCGGUACAGGAUGGACCCGCGUCUGAUUAGCUAGUUGGUAAGGUAACGGCUUACCAAGGCAACGAUCAGUAGCCGACCUGAGAGGGUGAUCGGCCACAUUGGAACUGAGACACGGUCCAAACUCCUACGGGAGGCAGCAGUGGGGAAUAUUGCACAAUGGGCGAAAGCCUGAUGCAGCAACGCCGCGUGAGCGAUGAAGGCCUUCGGGUCGUAAAGCUCUGUCCUCAAGGAAGAUAAUGACGGUACUUGAGGAGGAAGCCCCGGCUAACUACGUGCCAGCCGCCGCCGUAACAC